GCUGGGGGAUAACCUCGCGAAAGUGAGAACAAUACCCCAUGGGUCACUAUGCCUGGAACGGUUAGUGGCUGAAAGCUCCGGCGGCACAGGAUGGGUCUGCGGCGUAUCAGGUCGUAGGGGGUGUAACGUACCUCCUAGCCUUCGACGCGUACGGGUUGUGAGAGCAAUUGCCCGGAGAUGGAUUCUGAGACACGAAUCCAGGCCCUACGGGGCGCAGCAGGCGCGAAAACUUGACAAUGCGAGAAAUCGUGAUCAGGGGACUCCAGUUGGCUGGAUCAAAAGUCCAGUCUGAACCGACUUUAAAUCGGUCGGGUAAUAGGGGCGGGAAAGACCGGUGCCAGCCGCCGCGGUAAUACCGGCGCCCCAAGUGGUCGUCACUAUUAUUGGGCCUAAAACGUCCGUAGCCGGUUUGGUAAAUCCGUGGGUAAAUCAGACAGCCUAACUGUCUGAAUUCUGCGGGGACUGCCAGACUUGAGACCGGGAGAGGUGCGGGGUACCUGCGGGGUACCGGUAAAAUGGGAUCAUCCCGUAGAGACCACCUGUUGCGAAGGCGCCGCACUAGAACGGAUCUGACGGUCAGGGACGAAGCCUAGGGGCACGAACCGGAUUAGAUACCCGGGUAGUCCUAGGUGUAAACGCUGUGGACUUGGUGUCGGGGACCUUCUGAGGGUUUCCGGUGCCGGAGUGAAGAUGUUAAGUCCACUGCCUGGGGAGUACGGUCGCA
rnacentral:rRNA from 1 species